rnacentral:misc_RNA from 1 species
UUAUCACAUUCACUAGCUCUACUCCUCUUCACUCUAGAAUAAACAAUGAAACCAUUUACCUUAGCAACUUUGAAUCUCUUACAGUUAACAUCCUCAGAUGCCUCCGGCUGCGAUUGUGUAUCAAUUGGAACACCAUGAUUAAGACCAAGCAAGCCAGCAUGCUGGGACUGAACUCCAACCACAGAAGCUAGCUCUCCCUUCAUGCUGACCAAGGAAAACAUAAAAAAAGGCAAGAUCACUGAGUAUCAGAUGAGAGACAUGGGAAUUGAAAUUGGAAAUGGAAAUUGAGCUAAUUGAGGUCGAAUUUUGGGGAUUUUUGAGUGGUUUUGAUGGGUUUGUUUGAGAUGAUAUUGCAGAGGAAAGCCAAGAGGCUGUUAUUGGUAUUUGAGAGGCGAACUAACCAACUAGAGGUACAGCACAGAAGGAGAGAGUAGCGAAAAUGGCAGGA